UCUGAUGAAAUGUAAUACUGAUGCUGAUUGGCAGAUAAUGACAAGGAUGAUGAUGAUGAUGAUGAGGAUGACAGUAAAGAAUGUUCACUCAGUAUUGGAUGCAAGCAUUGUCGGCUGUGUGUGGUUCAUGUCUGUACCAGCAGAGGGAGCCCUCACUCUUUAUAACCUACAUCCACUGACAACGGUUCAUCCAUCAUUUGAUCAAUAUAUUUGAUGGUCUGUUCUACCUUCAUUAGGUUAUAAAGUCACACAGCAAUAAGUAUGUAUUAUAUACUGCACAAAAUGCAGCUCAAUGUUGGAGUGUUAUGAUGGAUGAAUUACCGACAUAUUUUCAAGAACCCUUUCUCUGCCCGCAGCACUGGAUCCUGUUAACCUCCAGUCCUUUGGCAUUGCUGUUUUUCUCAUCUGACAGCGCACUUAGCCCAGUCAAGUAUGUCCCAGUAGAGGGUCAUACUGGAUAUUCAAUGGAACUUAUAGACAGUGUGUCUGGUCCCUCAGGGACUAAGGGAACUGAAUGGGAGGAUGCCCCAUAAACAGCAUAAUGAUGAUUAAUGCGCCUAGGGUUACGUAACCACUCUAUUGUGUAAAAUCUUGAGGUGUAAAGACAAACUAGAAUGUACUGAUCCUUUUUUAAAGUCGAUCCAUUCAGUUUCUUUGAAGCGAAUCACUUUAGUGACAAUUUGUAAAGGUUAAAGGACAGUUAAUCUUCACACAGCCUCAC